AGAGUUUGAUCAUGGCUCAGAAUCAACGCUGGCGGCGUGCCUAACACAUGCAAGUCGAACGAGAAAGUGGAGCAAUCCAUGAGUACAGUGGCGACCGGGUGAGUAACACGUGAUCAACCUACCCUCGAGUGGGGAAUAACUCCGGGAAACCGGAGCUAAUACCGCAUAAAAUCUUCGGUCCACAUGAACUGAUGAUCAAAGGAGCAAUUCGCUUGAGGAGGGGGUCGCGGCUGAUUAGCUAGUUGGUAGGGUAAUGGCCUACCAAGGCUUAGAUCGGUAUCCGGCCUGAGAGGGCGCACGGACACACUGGAACUGAAACACGGUCCAGACUCCUACGGGAGGCAGCAGUGGGGAAUUUUGCGCAAUGGGGGAAACCCUGACGCAGCAACGCCGCGUGGAGGAUGAAGUCCCUUGGGACGUAAACUCCUUUCGACCGGGAAGAUACUGACGGUACCGGAUGAAGAAGCACCGGCUAACUCUGUGCCAGCAGCCGCGGUAAUAC
rnacentral:rRNA from 1 species